UACGGGGGGGCAAGCGUUGUUCGGAAUUACUGGGCGUAAAGGGCUCGUAGGCUGCCAACUAAGUCAGACGUGAAAUCCCACGGCUUACCCGUGGAACUGCUUGGCAGACUGCGGUGCUAGAGGAUGGUAGGGGAGAGCGGAACUCCUGGUGGAGCGGUGAAAUGCGUAGAUAUCAGGAGGAACACCGGUGGCGAAGGCAAUCCCCUGGGCCUGCACUGACGCUCAUGCACGAAAGCGUGGGGAGCAAACAGG
rnacentral:rRNA from 1 species